rnacentral:rRNA from 1 species
ACAGAGGUCCCAAGCGUUGUUCGGAUUCACUGGGCGUAAAGGGUGCGUAGGUGGCCAGUUAAGUUCGGUGUGAAAGCUUCGGGCUCAACCCGGAAAUGUCAUCGAAAACUAUCUGGCUAGAGGAUUGGAUGGGGGACUGGAAUUCUCGGUGUAGCAGUGAAAUGCGUAGAUAUCGAGAGGAACAUCAGUGGCGAAGGCGAGUCCCUGGACAAAUCCUGACACUGAGGCACGAAAGCUAGGGGAGCAAACAGG